rnacentral:lncRNA from 10 species
CUUUCUGGAGUCUGAAAUGUUAAGUAUGGAGGCAAAAGCUGAAGCUGGAGCAACAGUCUCAGAAUAUGACAACAACCAUGAGAAUGGAGGCCAUUCAUAGCAGAACUACGAGACAAGAGGAGCCUAGGUCCCUGAGCUGCAGAACUGCAUACUAACCUGAUGAGAAGACUAAUGCUCAGUGAGGUGAACUCCUUCAGGGCCACAGGCUGUAAAGAUCUAAACACCAUCUGAUCCAGUUUCAAUAUGACUGCCUGGAUGAAGAAGGAUUUGAGACUAAGUUUAUUCCUCCAAAGCAAACCAACUGAGAAUGCAGGGGGUCUUGCUAUGUUGCCCAGGCCAGUCUCAAACUCCUGGGUUCAAGCAAUCCACUCGCCUUGGCCUCUUAAAGCACUGGGAUUACAAGCGUGAACCACCAUGCCUGGCUGAAGAUUCAAGUUUUUAAAACAUCUGAUUUCCACUUGAAACCUUGAAUUGUAUCAUUGGCAACAAAUAAUGUCAGUUAUUUUCCUUGAGAUGACAACUUCACUUAGUUAUUUUCAAGAAAACUGCUGCCAUGUAGCCAACUGUGAAUGACCACAGUUUGCCUGUCAGUCAUUCUGUCAAGUAAAAUGGUGCUCCUCAAACAAAGCAGCACGUUUAGCUCACAACUCAACAACCACACAGCAGUCUUCCUCCCACCCACCAUGGCACUUAUAUUAAUAUAAGCAGCAGAGGUGCUUUAUGUAUGAGUAUUGUGUGAAAAUACUCAAAAGACCUGUAACCAAGGGUCAAGAUUACUACAAUUAAUUUCUACUGCUUCCUAAGGGCAUUCUUAAGUGACACUAGCAUAUUUUACAAGCCAGAGUGUAACAAUGAGCACAAUGACUGCUACCACAGCUUGCUGCCAGCCAUUGCCUUGACUUGUCCUAAAACACAGCCAUUUUCAUCCGCCUCCAUGGCUACUGCAUCAUCAGUGCAAAGUCAACCCAGUAAAAAAGGCAAAUAGCAUCUCCGUGUUAUCAUAAAAAUAGUUUUGACCUCAUGGCUCCCCUUAAAGGGCUUGGGGCAUCACAGAGAGCCACUGCUACAGCCAACUGAGAGAGAACUCUCAAAAGCCAGGCUUUUUCUGUCCCUGUCCUUCUCACAGUGAAACACUUAACGCACUCUCUGAUUGUGGCUCUUAACUCGCCAGGUAAAAGUCCUUCUGUGUAGUCUAGGAAGAAGGGCAAGGGCAAAGGGAGGACUUUGUUUAUGAAGCCUAAGUAGAAUAUGCUCUGCUAGAUAAUCAGUCCUGGAAUGAAGGAGGGGAGAAGUGAGUUUCUGAUUGUCUGAGCCCAGGUCUGAUGUUGGGAAAUGCCAGCAUUCCAACCCCUGAUUUCCAUUCCCACUACCAGACUUAGGCAAAGUUACUCACCCGUUCUUGACCACAUAAAUGUAUGUGUGAUGGCUAAUUUUAUGUGUCGACUUGACUGGACUAAAGGAUGCCUGGAUAUUUCUGGAAGAGACUAAGAUUUGAGUCAGUAGACUGAGUAAAAAUUGCCCUCACCAAUGUGAGUGAUCCUUAUCCAAUCUGUAGACGGCCCGAAUGGAACAAAAAGGUAGAGAAAGGGAGAAUUCACUCUCUCUAACCCGGAACAGCCAUUCAGCCAUUUUCUCCUUCCCUUGGACAUCAGCACUUCUGAUUCUCUGGCCUCCAGAUUAUGACUGUGACUUACACCAUCGGCCUCUCUGGAUCUCAGGCCUUCCAGUUUGGACUGGAAUUACACCACCAGCUUUCCUGGGCCUUCAGCUUGCAAACAGGUGAUUGUGGGACUCUUCAGCCUCCAUAAUCACACGAGCCAAUCCCUCAUAAUAAACCUUUCCUGGCCAGGCGUGGUGGCUCAUGCCUGUAAUCCCAACACUUUGGGAGGCCAAGGCAGCCAGAUUACUUGAGGACAGGAGUUGGAGACCAGCCUGGCCAACAUGGUGAAACCCUGUCCCUACUAAAAAUAUAAAAAUUAGCGAGGCAUGGUGGUGGGCACCUGUGGUCACAGCCACUGAAGAGGCUGAGGCAGGAGAAUUGUUUGAACCUGAGAGGCGGAGGUUGCACUGAACUGAGAUCAUCCCACUGCACUCCAGCUUGGGCAACAGAGCGAGACUCUGUCUCAAAAAAAAAAAAAAAAGAAACUUUUUUUUCAUAUCUCUAUAUGUGCCAUUGGUUCUGUUUCUCUGGAGAUCCCUGGCUAAUACACUAUAUAACAAUUACUCCCUUUGAAAAUCAGGAACUCACAGAUGAUUCAAAGUGUGACCUACACUUUUCUUGCUGAUGCCUGGCCAUAGGCAGCAGCGCAAGACUGUGUCUCUCUCUCAAUCUCUCUCUUUCACAUCUCAGGUUUCUAUGCAGUUAGAAAAGCUACUUUUCUAGAAUCACUUUUUCCUAAGUAAUCCAUAUCACAUCUGUUAGGAAUUACUAAUUAAUAAGCAAAGUUAACCAAAAAAAGAGAGUAUUAUAAAUCCAUCUUUCUAUUAGAUUGUGAUAACUGCCCCCUUCUAUUCAUUAUUUCCUGUACCAAACUCAUUUUGUAAACUAAGAUCAAGUCUAAUAAAAAAAUUCUUUUUUGUUAAGUAGCAA